rnacentral:SRP_RNA from 2 species
UGACAUCAAUAUGGUGACCUCUUGGGAGUGGGGGACCACCAGAUUGCUUAAAGAGAGAUGAAAUGGCCCAGAUCAGAAAUGGAGCAGGUCUAAACUCCUGUGUUA